rnacentral:lncRNA from 1 species
CCGUUGAAGUUGAUGAGGCGGUCACUGAAGAACAUGCAUCUUGAUUUUCCAAACGUGUGGGCUCCUGAUAGAGCCACGAGAUCUGUAGAAUCAAGCCCUUGAUCUUUAAACUUGCCUUUAAGUCCCACUAGAGUUUCUGAGGGACCAGGUAAGUUUGAGGUUCCAGUUCUAUUGGCUAUUCUGCUGUCUUUUCUUCCCAUUGGUACAACCCAAAUUGGUCCUCCCGACUGCCAAAACACCAUAAAAGUUAACAUUAUUACUUGCCGAAGAUAACAAAUCUCCAUUUAUCUUUACAAAAGUAGGCAGGGUUUUACUUUUGGUUUUAAAAAAAAUGUUUUGUACCAUUCAAAAUAGUUGUCAUCUUAGCUUAUGUAGUGGGUAUGAGAUUUUAAUUUCAUCGCAUUCUCCGCAUCUCAAUUGAGCUACUUAUAGAAAGAAUAGGAAACAUAAAUUUAAUUAAAGUAAUUACCAAGAAAACAGAGAUUUGAGAUGAAAUGGCUAAGAUAUCAGCGCAAGAAACAACUCCUGGACAAGCACUCUCAACUGCUGCUUUGAUGUUGUCCACAAUGUCCAUUCCUUGGAUUCCACCAUUUGGAGGUCCAUUAAGUUCACUAUCGAUAACGCCCGGUACGUCUACCAAUAGAAUCGAUCCAUCACACCCCUACACAAAACCAAAAAAAAUAUUAAGAGUAGAUUCAUCCAUCAUGUUACAAAACAUUUACUAGAUAUGUGUUUAUGCAAUACGAAAAAAAAAAGAAAAUGAAAUAAAAUAAUACAUUGACAAAGCAAUCAUGAAAAUGGAGGCGAAUGAGCUUAGCAGCAGCUCGGUCAUCAGUCUGUAGGGCUUGGGCAACCACGUUGAGAACAACGAAAGGCAGCUGAGGGCAUGUGGUGGCGUAGAAGAAAGGAGAAAGCUGGGCUUGAGAGGGUGAUAGCAUCAAAGCCACCACCACAACAAUGGCUGCCAUUUUAGGUAAACCCAUUUUUGAUACUGCAAAUGGGGUCUUCUCUGGUCUUUGCUUUGGGGAUAAGAAACUUUGUGCAAACAUAUCUUCCUUUUAUACACACCCCAUCACCUUUAAUUUUUAGUAUACCAAACAACUUGGGAUUCAAUUAAACAAUACAAUAAUCCAACUCUAUCCCACAAUUAAAAUAUGACUUUUCUUUUUCUCUCUUUUUGAAAUUUGGUACUGCCUUGGGUUGGUUUUAUACCAUUAUUGCUUGUCUUCUUGUGUGUGUGUAUAUAUAUUUUCAAUGACCAUUCUAGUAAAUUUGCCUCCUUGUACGAUUUUCUUUUUCUAUCUUAUUAUGCACAUGAUGUAUAGCAGUGUGCAUGCAUCAACGUACACAUAGUUUAACGGGAAGAUUAUAUUGUUUCUUUGUUUAAUAAAUGAAGUUGUUGGGGAUUCAACUUUUAAAAUACCCAAAUUUUUUGUGAAGAGAUGGCUACUGGAUUUUUUGUGAGAUUCCAUAUUUUUAUAAUUUAUUUUAUGGAAUUGAUCAUCAAAUAUAAAAUUACAAGAUUAUUGUGUUGUUGUAAUUUUGUGACUAUUAAUAAUAAAUCCAUGAAUUGUCAAAAAUCUUAAAUGACAAGAUUGGUAGUUUAAAAGUUAUAUUUAUUAGACAUUUUGGAAAUAGAAAUAAAAAAUCUCUUAAAAGUAGAAAAAAUUAUGAAUUCCAAUUUUGAGGGCUGUUGGUAUCAAAAUUUCUAAUUAAGUUCAUUAUUAUAUGGUUACUAUCCAUUUAUAAGUUGAAGUUCUACUUAAUUUUUUUAAAAAAAUGUGAAACGUACUAAAAAGGUUUACUUUUAAAAUUGAAGGACGAUACAUACUUAUUGAUUGAUGAAGACUUCGAGAACUAAAAAAAAUAGAUUUUCUAUUUUUUUUAUAUUUAUAUUAUGUUUGUAACGAUAAUUCUUCAUGCCUAAAGCUAAACUUGUUGGGUAAGGUUGGAAAGAAGAGAAAGAGAAAAAGAAAUUACUACACUAUAAUAAGAAAAGAAACGAGGUAUAUAUUAUGAUAAUUACAAGUUUUUUACCAAAUGACAUUGCUACAAAAAGGAUAAAGAUGUUUAGUUGAAUUUAGAGUUUGUUUAAAUUGAUGGGAGAAAAAAUGUUUUUCAAUUUAAUUCCCUUUUAUUUAAAUAUUCUUUGUAAAAGUUAAUUAAAAUGCACUUUGAUGUUGUCACGAUGUCUAGGCCUUGGAUUCCAUUGUUGGGAGGUGCGUUCAAUUCACUGUCGAUAACACCAGGUACGUCUUCCAAUAGCACAUAUCCAUCACACUCCUACAUAAAUUGACCCAACAUCCAACGUAUAAGUCUUGCUUUAUACUUUCGUAUAGGAAGAAGUGAGAAGAUGUUUGGCUAAACAAAAAAAAAAAAAAGUAUUUUUAAGUAGUUAGAAAAAAUCAAUUCAAAUAGGUUUAUGAUGAGUACGUGCAUUGGCAAAGCAGUCAUGAAAGUGGAAACGAAUGAACUUGGCAGCAGCUCGAUCAUCUGUUUGGAGAGCUUGAUAGACUGUAUUUAGAACAACAGCAGUCAGUUAAGGGCAAGUCGAGGCGUAGAAUAAAUUGUUAAGCUGAGCCAGAGAGGGAGCAAGCAUCAAAGCUACCACAACAAAGGCCGUAAGUUUAGAGGAAGCCAUUGCUAAUGUUUUUGGGUUAUUUGUGAGAGUAAGUUGUGGAGAAAUGGAGAGGUGAUGUUUGAUUAAUUUAUACACAGCAGCCAUGAGUUUGGGGCACAUAUAGUCGAUUGAUUCAAGGUCAUUAACAUUAAAUUAUUAACAAAAUUGAGUAUGAUUAUUUUCAACACAUCAGGGUUUUCGUUUGGUAUUUGGG